CAGCGCCCCAAGUGGCAAUCGCGAUUAUUGGGCCUAAAGCGUCCGUAGCCGGGUAAGUAAAUCCACUGUGAAAUCGAUGCGCUCAACGUAUCGGCGUGCAGCGGCGACUGCUUACCUCGAGACCGGAAGGGGCUGGACGUAUGCCAUGGGGACCGGUAAAAUGGGAUAAUCCAUGGUAGACGACCAAUGGCGAAGGCAUCCAGCCAGUACGGAUCUGACGGUGAGGGACGAAAGCCAGGGGAGCGAACCGGAUUAGAUACCCGCGUAGUCC
rnacentral:rRNA from 1 species